rnacentral:rRNA from 1 species
CUACGGAGGGUGCGAGCGUUAAUCGGAAUUACUGGGCGUAAAGCGUACGUAGGCGGUUGGUUAAGUUAGAUGUGAAAGUCCCGGGCUUAACCUGGGAACUGCAUUUAAAACUGGCGAACUAGAGUUGAGUAGAGGGGAGUGGAAUUUCAGGUGUAGCGGUGAAAUGCGUAGAGAUCUGAAGGAACACCAGUGGCGAAGGUGACUCCCUGGACUCGAACUGACGCUGAGGUACGAAAGCGUGGGUAGCAAACGGGAUUAGAAACCCCAGUAGUCC